UCUAAGGUUAGUUUAAUAUAAAAUUUUGGUUUGUGGAGCCGAAGAUAACUUUUGUUACCUUUGAA
rnacentral:tRNA from 1 species